UUAUUUUCUAGCGUAACUGAAAUGUGGGCCUCAUGUUUUUUAUCAAAUUGCCAAGUCAAUGCCUCAUGGGAUGAAUAACUAUUCAAAGGAGCCACGUAGAUGCCACAUCAGCCAAAAACUGUAACUGGCACGUGGGCCCUCAUGUUUUUUAUUGAAUUGGCACGUUAGCGCCACGUCAACACCGCAUAUGACAAAAACCUAAUCAAAGGAGCCAUAUAUGCGUCACAUUAGCCAAAAUUGGUGAUAAUACCACGAAAGGAUCUCGUUUGUACUGGUUUUAUAAGUUUGGGAUGUAUUGUAUUUGGUUUUACAGUUAAAUGACGAUUUUGUAAUUCGGUGUUAAAAGAUGCGAUAGAGAGAUCUCCGGUGUACUUUCUCCAUUAUCAUAAGACGAGAUCUUUUGGGACGCUCAUGGCCCAGAGUUCUUAGCCCGUGAUGAUGAAGCCUCUGCCUCCGGAUGCUUCGAUCGGCUUCUCGGCCCGCCGCCCCUGGUCUCGUCGUCGUGCCGCUCGAGACGGACUGCAUGCUCCGCCGGCCCUAGAAUUCCCUCCUCCUGAGGUCGUCGCCGCGCCGGCACGGCGAGCCGGCGAGCGCGGCCACGGGUUCCUACCGGCGCCGCCGCCGUCCACCGCAACCAGAGCAUCAAACACGAGCAACAGGGCAGAACCAAUGACGAAUUGCAGUCGAGCACCAUGUCUCCGCAUUCGUGCUCACUCCAUCCCUCCAGCGCGUGAACGAUUCCAGCGAUACGCCAUGCGCUCAUGACCCUCCUUGAGUUUUAGGAACAACCAUUGCAGGAGUCGUCCAGUAGGUGCAGCAGUUGUUGCGUAUCAUUCUCGGUGGAAACUGCUGUGUGCGGGCGGCUUUAUGCAAAUGUGCAUCAAAUAGGUGUGAUAGGGUGACCUCGAACUAUCCUGGCCGUUGGGAUCCAAGAGAAUGGUGGAGAUUGAAAUUUCCAAAUUUUCAACAGUUGGACUGUUUUCACCUGAUAUGUACUCAUUUCUAGAGAAGCUUCUAGGAUCUUAACACAGAUUGACUGGAAAUAUGUCCAAGCGCAGUUGCUGAUUCUCGUGGGCAAUUUUCUUACUACAUAAUCCUGAUUCCAAGCUGGCUAGCUACUUGAUACUAGUUCCUCGCUUCCUUUUAAUAAGGUACUCUCUUUUGUUCAUUUUUUCAAUCACAAUUUUGUUGAUCUUUUUAUAUGUUUAAUGACAUAUUACUGCAUGCUAGUUGUACUAUCUAUUUUCUUACCAUUAAAACAUGAUAAAUAGAAGCAUAUCAUUCACUCUCAACUACUAACCAUCAUCUUAUAAGAGCAGGUACUCUAACAGGCUAUAAACCAGCUUUAAAUAUAUUUUAAAAAGAUAAACGAGGAGAGAGAACAGCAGCGGGCUAUAGAUUUAUAGCCAGCUGUAGCACGGACUCCAAGACACGGGGUGUAUAUUACAGGUGGGAGCAGGUAUUAAUAGUGUACUAGUAUGUAACUAUUGUAUGAAUAAGCUAUUAGAUUGGCUACAGAUGAAUUAGAGCUAGUAGCUGACUAUACUAUUAAACUUGCUCUAAUCGGCUAAAAAGGAAGAAAAAAAUAUACAUCGUUUUCAACACAAUAAAUCCAGUGAUGACCUAUGCUCUGGCCAUUUAAUCUAGAUGUACUAAUAGUGGUACUACUGAUGUUUCAGCCCUAUUGAUUGCGGAGAGCAAACGGAGUUGUCUGCAUAUGAAGGAAGAACGUUGCAAAGUAGUACCAACUAACUUACCUUUCUGAUGGGCCUCAUAAAUCAUCGUCAUUAACUUACCUUUCUGAUGGGUCACUCUUAUAUCAGUAUUAUUCCAAUACUCUGCAUAAUUGCAACUGGUCACAGAAUUCACAGUGUUUGGUCCUUGUGCUUUUUAUCUGAAGAAAGGAAGAUGCAUAUAGUACCUCCUUGAUGCUGACUCGUGGUACAGAAAAACAUCGCUUUAGCUGCUGUUUAUUUAUUAGGUCCUUCGAUUAUGAGACGUAUAAAUGAAACAUUGUGCUUAUUACACAGUGCAAAUGUAGAUUACUGUUGGUGGCUGGCUGCUACCCUUCGCCGUCGCCACCAGGUAGCACGGCGUGCACCGCCCAUGGCGCCAGCACCACGUACUGCGUGGCAUGCACGUAGAUAUAUACAAAUAAAUUAAUCAUGUUUAGGUUCCAUUUUGUUUGAAAGCGAAAACAUUUCGAAAGGGAAAGAUAGAAACUGAAAGAAAUUUCGGGCGAAAAUUUUCAAAAUUCUGGUUGAAUUUGAACAAAAGUUUAUAGAGCCAUGAUCAUGUUAAGUUCAUGCGGCUUUGGACUGUUUGGUGAUAAAUGCAGAUAUAAUUAGAGGCAUAUGGAUGCACCUUGAAGCUGCCAAGUUUCUUCCAUGGCCACUCGGUGAAGAUACCGGGUUUGGUGACCAAUUCAGGCUAGCUGAGCUCGUACAGUACUUGCUAGCGCUGCUGCUACUACUGUUUUCAGGGUUAGUGAUUUACUGAGCUCUGUUCUUGCUCAAUUUACAGACUCCUUUUGUGUGUUUGAUACGUACAUAGGGUGACAGGUUUAAUUAGUUGACAGAAUGACAGAUAUCAUUAAUUAUGCAUCAUGAUUCACGGUGAAUGACGGCAAAAAUUCAUUAGGUUGGCAACAGGUGUCGUCUAUUUAGAUUAGAGAACCUUGCCUUGCACUGCUACCCAAACCCAACAGUAUUGUGUUAUUAUCCCAUGGUGUUGAGUUAUGUCUUGUCAACCUAUACCCAUGGAAGAACUUUGCUUUCCCGUCUCAAGUGUAUGGAUGAUCUAAUUACCAUGUAGAGUUACUUAAAAGGGAUUUAACCUAUACAAUUUUCCUACCGAGGAUGAACUCAUGCAAGAUUAGUCACAACUGUCUCUCCUUUUUAAUUGUUAAAAGUUGUCAAUGCACAGGUUCAUUGAAGGUUUGAAGCAUUGUAAAGUAAAACCCAUCACCUUUUUCUUAGAAGUGGAUUUUUAUCCCUCGAGGGGACAUCCCCUCGUUUUGUGCAUGUCGUUCAAAAAGUUAUCAAAAAAAAUUUAAAAAAAAUAUCAAGAUAGAUCAAUAUAUGAUAUAUCUUUUCGUA